CCGCAGCGAUAGCGAGUCUGAUUAGGUCGUUUAGUACGGGGUCGUAGACGCGAAACCAGGUGAUCUUCGCAUGUCCUGUGUGAAGUUCAGGUAACACUGAUUGGAGGCCCGAACCCACGCACGUUGAAAAGUGCGGGGUUGAGGUGUGGGUAGCGGAGAAAUUCCAAUCGCACCUGGAGAUAGCUGGUUCUCCCCGAUAUAGCUUUAGGGCUAGCCUUAUGUGUUAGAGUGUUGGUGGUAGAGCACU
rnacentral:rRNA from 1 species